UUUUUUUUUUUUUUUUUGUGAUUAAAAUAGCAUAUGUCCUGGAAUCCUCUGAGGAUUGGAAGCUUAGGAAAAUCACAUCCAUUGAUAGGAUAUCUUUGGUACGAAAGUUGACACGAACGGAAUUUGUAACCACAACCCCACAACACCUGUCGAUGCAUCAAUUCCUUGCUGUUUCUUAGAUUCCCUGAAAUACAACGGCUAUCUAUAUCCCAGUUCAUCCAAUGUCAUUCCUGUCGAAGAGAUCCAUAAAAAACUCGAGAAGAAAAAGAAAAAAAGAGAGGAGGGCCGGGAAGUCAGCAAAGUCCUAUAGUGUAGGACCUUUAACCCUGCACUGGCCACAGGCACCAUCUGAGAAUCAGAGAAACAAAAAGACUACCCCCACAAGAGAGGUCCCCGUAACCCUACACAGACUUUACAGACCCUGGUUUUCGUGCUGCAAGCCUGCAACCUACAUGUGACAAAAUUCCAAUCAUUAACGUUGUUUCCCCCACUCUUGCCAACCAAUAAAAAAAAAAAAAAAAAACCACCCUCCCUCAAUUAUUAAAGCCAAAAUUCACAAGACAAAGCCCUCUUCUUCUGAGAUUCUGCAAUGCCAUAAUAAUUGUACUAGCUAUAUAAAUCCAAACUUUUCAAGACUACUAUUAUGUUCCACACAAACAUAAUGUAAUGGCAGGGGAAAUGGGAAAGGAGAAAGAUCAGAAUAAGAGCAUUACGAGAACAACAAAAUGCGGUGUGAGCAAAAAAGGAUAGAAGAACACAUGCCCAAUAACAUCAUCAUUCUUGAACUUUAUAAUGGCUACCCCAAAAUGAUAAAUAGUACUCCUGUAACUUGAGAGCAUGGAAAAACUAUAGGCAAAGGUAAAACCAUAUCCGGGAAGUCUCACCAUCCCAAUAAAAGUAACCAUAGGGGAAAACACAGAGAAAAAAGAAUGAUGAUCAGGAUCAUGAUGCAUGUUAAGAAGGCCCACAGCAAACAUAUCUGUACAGCAAUAAGCCCCUCUCUCUCUCUCUCUUUCUCUCUCACUCUCACACACACACACACGAAAACUCUCUCUCUCUCUCUGAUAACUAUCCUCAUCAUUUCACAACAUGACAGCUUGAGGUACAGGAGGAGGACCAAUUCUGAUGGAAUUCCAAAAGGGCUAUCCUUAAUUCAUUCCCACCCUGCCAUGCAGGAAUCUUUCCAUUAAAUACUAAGAAAAUGUGAAUUGUAUAGAAGGGUUACGGAGAGCUUGAAAAUCUGGAGAAGAACAAUUAUUCAUCCAAGUCAUGUGUUGUCAGUCCUAUUCACGAAUUUUAUCAGAUGUCUGGUUAUCUGAUUGCCCUACACUGCUUUCCACAUCAGCUAAUCCACUACUGUCCUUCAUUGAUUCAAUUUCCAUGCUUGCUGUUCGGCUUCUCCUGUUCCUCCGAUCCUGUAGAAACAUUAUUACUUUGAAUUAGUUUGCUUAAACUAACAAAGUUCUCAUGAGCCUCCCACGAGGCUAGCACUAUCCAAGAUGCUUGAUAGAUCAUGUUCUUAUUCAAGAAACAACAAGAAUGAUUCAAUCAGGAGAAAAUAUGCAUUUUUAACAGAAAUCCUUGUUGAGAGUCUUGUUUCAUGAACAAUUACAAUGGGAACCUUUUCAGAAGUCCUCGACAUCUGCUGAUGCAGAUUGAAUCAUGCACAAUUUACGAACUCUACACAUAUAGACAUCGAUAGAUGCUAUUUGUGUUCCUUAAUAGACUGUAGCCUUUACUCAAAGUCUUAAAAAAGGCCAAAGGCAACCAUAAGCAUGGUCUAGGCUUGCAGGAUAAGUAUGCCUGGCCAAAGUACAAUGCUUAUGCGAAACACUUUUAAUACCAAAAUCUACAGGUUAUUCUCAAUAUCAAUUUUCUAGCAAGUGGAGACUUUUUGUAUCUGCACUGACAUGUAGGUUAGGCACUGGUCUCUUUUCAUUACUCAGAAGCAACAAUAAGAGAGGAGUCCAAGAGCUUUUAACUAUGACCCUCUGUUCAAAAAAGACAAUUCAGUCUUCAACUGACAUGUAGAUUAGGCACUGGUCUCUUUUCAUUACUCAGAAGCAACAAUAAGAGAGGAGUCCAAGAGCUUUUAACUACGACCCUCUGUUCUGUUCAAAAAAGACAAUUCAGUCUUCUUCAAAUACCAUAUACAUGCAUUGCAUGGAAGCUCUGACUAACUGAAUUAUUAGCAUUUUUCAACUGGAGAAUUCAGAACUUGGACAAACACUAAACAUCCAAUAGACGACAACCCAUACAGACAAGUGAACAUUUUAAUAACACAUUCAAAAAUUGGGAUUGGAAAAGCACCUCACGGUAUGGAAAUUCAUCUGCCUCGAGCAUUCGCACAACUUGACUCAUCCUGGGUCGCUUCUCUGCAUCAGGAUCAACAGAUCUGAGUGCCACCAAAAGUGCACGCUUUAAGGCACGAGUUGCUGGCUUUACUUCAAGGUCAGGAUCCACAACUUCUUCAGCUCUUCUAUGUCCUACCAUCAUUUUCAGCCACUCAACAAGAUUCACCUGGCACAGGAACAAAUCUCCUGGUUAGCCAAGCCUGAAGCCCAUGUCCACUAAUGCCCCAAAUCCACAGUAAAUGGAAAGACAGAAAAGAAUUCACAGACUGUACCAACACUAUCACAAUCAAUAUAGUUUAUAAGGAUUCCAUACCUCGUUAGCAGGACGGGCAUAGUCAACUGGAUCUCUUCCUGUGACUGCUUCCAGUAGUAGAACUCCAAAACUAUAUAUAUCACUUUUUUCAUUUAACAAACCACUGUUUGCAUAUUCUGGAGCCACAUAGCUGAAAUUAACAACACAAAAUGUUUAAGCAUAAAGAAUUCUUCGUAUAAUUCACAUUGGAUAAUAUGGAGGAAAAGGAUAGAUGGCUGAAAAUAAAGAACCAGAAGGAUUUAGUUAAAAACUGGCUUACCCAAAUGUUCCCAUUACUCUUGUCGUUAUGUGGCUUUCUCCUGAGCCCAAGAGCUUUGCCAAUCCAAAAUCAGAAACCUUGGCAUUGAAUUCAUCAUCGAUCAAAAUAUUACUAGAUUUUAUAUCUCGAUGGACAACCUUAGGCUCUAUAGCUUCAUGCAGGUAAGCAAGCCUGCAAAACAAUGUGACACAAUGUUCUGGAUCAAAGCAAUGGAGACACAAUAUAUGAAGAUUUAAUUUUACAAUAAGCGCUUACUACAAACUACAAGGUUUCACUUAGUAAGCAACAUAUUAGAAACAGAUUGCACAAGUGCUACAUUUCAAAAAAGAAGAAUGGAAAAAUCAGGGAAACAGUGCUAUAAGAAGAUGGGUGGACAAGAAUUGCAUCGCAUUUUACCGAUGGAUUAUGCUUAAUCAAACCUGCAAGAGGUUAAAAAAAAAAGCAAAUAUGAAACAUAGUUCAUCAGAUUUAAUGCAUGGCAGACUUACGCUUUUGCAGUACCAAGAAGCACUUUCAUGCGUGCAUCCCAUGUGAGUGUCCCAUGUUGUUUCAUAGUACCAUGAAGCCAUUGUUCUAAGUUGCCAUUAUUAACAUACUCGUACACCAACAUCCUGAAUUAACAAAAACAAGGAUAAUCUCAGCAAAAAAAAGGAUAAUCUCAGUUAAUGGAGAUGUAUCUCAUUAGACUGAAAUUCAAGACUCAAUAAGUCAAUAAACAUAAUCAUAAUUUUAAUUUUCUUUUUCUUAUUAUUAACUAAAUUAGUGGAUCAAGGAUGAAGCUCAAAACCAAGACCCCAGCCCUGCCUUGUUUAGAGUGCUCCAACCAACAAAGCUAGGCCUUGGCUCAAACUUGAAGUUCCUCUACUACUACUGCAAUUUGCAGAAUCAUUCAAGAACUAUUUUACAUUAAGUAUAGAAAUGAAACUGCUGACUUGAAAAUUCAGGUGGAAAAAGAAGAUUCUUACCUCUGAACCCCUUCUAUGCAAUAGCCCAGGAGCCGCACAAGAUUCUUGUGCCGAACAUGCCCAAUGGCCUCUACUUCGACCCUGAAUUCUUUUUCAGCUUGGCCACUGAAAUUAGUUCAGAAUUCAACCGUGAAUAAGUUAAAAAAACUCCAAAAACACAUAUUGAAGCCAUGAAAAUGAAGUAUUUAUGUACUACUCACAGAUUGUUAAGAAGCUUCUUUACAGCUACCUCUGUCCCAUUGACCAAUCUGCCCCGGUAAACAACCCCAUAGCCACCUUCCCCAAUCACAUUCUCUGCUGAGAAGCGGUUUGUAGCAAUAUCAAGAUCUCUAAGGGUAAACCAGUGACCCCAACCAAGAUGUGAUAUUUCUGGCAAGCCAAUCAGAGGAGAGGCCAUUGGAAGCCCGUAAGGCAAUGAAGACAGUUUUCGAGCAGUACCAGAACUUCCUUCUUCCCCUGAUUGUGAGCUGCAAGCCCUCUCAUGGUGAUACAUUGAGCUACACUGACUGAGAUUAUCGACAUCACUUGAUUUACUCCUCCCCAGAUGUACUAACAUCUUUUCUGAAUUCUUAUCGCUUGACUUGUCGUUCACUGUCAGGUAUACUGUUUCUGGGUGAUCAUGGUAAUCUUGACCUCCUACUCUAUCGACUUUGAUGUCUUUUGAUAUGUUAGGUAUUUGACAAAGUGAAUAUUUGUCGAGGGUUCUUCUUGAUCUCCUCCGGAACAUUACCCAUAUUGAUAAGGUACAAAGUAUCAAAACUAUAAACGCACCAACACAUAAACCAAUCACGACCCAUAAUUUUAAACCCAAAAAUGAUGUCUUCUUGGAUAGCUCAGCAUUCAAACUCUCAGACGACAUGUUCGACAAACUUCUACCAAGCACCAAUAAACAAGUCUUGUCCCCGUAGCUUCACCUGGGGAAUUAAACCAUGCCUCCUGGAUCCCAUAAACAUGUCAUAUAAGGACAGAAGCACCCAAAUGGCAAAUAAGUAUCAAAAUCUUAGGCUAGUUGGUAAUCCAAUUCUCGAUUUGUUUCCUUCUUCUACUUUGAUUUCCUUAAGUAUUGAGCCUAAACCAGCCAACUAUCACCCAAUUCUAAUGACACACUCAAAACUCACAAGUGUAAAGAGAGAUUAGUUUUUGUCAUUCAGACAGCAUAAUUCAUGUGGGAGACCAAGUCAGAAAGUUUCCAUAGAUGAACCAAAGAGACCAUGGUCCAAAUGUUCCAAUAGAUACCAGAACAUUUUACAGUUCAUAAUCUCAGACAGGGUUCAGAACAAAGCAAUGAGAAGAGUAUCAAAACACCAUAGCAAUAGCAGGCAUUUAAUAAAUAAAAGCAACCAAUUUCAAAAGAAGCCAAUGCAAAAUCCACAAAAACUUACUCAUUUUUUAAAAUCAACAGAGGCAAAGACUUGCAUAUAAAAACAUUAAACAUAUAAAAUCUUGAGAAUAAAAUCAAGCAAAGCAUGACUUAUGAUCCAAGUUAAAUCCAGUAAAAAGUGUAUUCAAAGCAGAAAGCACUGACCUUGAGGUGAUCUGAGUCUAACCCCCUCGAUCUUCCUCCUUGAGAACCCAAAGAAGCAAAGAAAGAACCUCUUUUUGUACCAAUAAGGGUCCAACAAGCAUAGAUAUCCCAAUGCAGAGCUGAAAUAAAGGAAAAAAAAACCACCACAAAUAGCAAAAGACUAAAAAAAGUUAACUUCUGAAGAAAGGAGGAGUAGUUUACAAGUAGAAACUAAUCAACUAUGGCCUCAAGUGGGCCAGAAAAGAGAGUUAAAACAACAGUACAAAGGAAUUUUUUUUUUCUCAAUCAAUGCCAGACAAAAAAUCAAUCUUUUCAAGAAAUAGAGCCAAUGUUGUGAGAAAUAUAUCAAGGGUUCUUUUCUUUUUUUUUUAUUUGGUAGUGAAGGUGUCAUAAAAGCAAGAGUUGGGUAAAAAAUGGUUGGUGGGGUUGCAUGAAUGUGGAGGAAAGACCGACCUCAAACAAGCAGCAGCUGGAAAGGGAAGCUUAGGUUGCAAUGAAGGAAACCACAGAUGAAGAAGUAAAGGGAAAGCAAAAAAUUAUGCAAAGAGAAAAAAAAAAUUCAGCAUGAAGAGAACAGAAAAAGUGAGAUAUAGUUGGCAUUUAUAGCAGAGUGAUGAAAUAUUGGAAAAAGUGCAAAAAGGAAAAAAAAAUCAACAAAAGGAAAAGGAAAUGGAAAAGGAAAAGACAGAUAAAUAUGUGUGCUAGUGUGUGUGAAACUAUGAAUAUGAUGUCUGUGCCAUGUGCGCGUGAGAGUCAAACCGGAGAAUAGGUGAGUCUUUUUUUUUUUUUUUGAGGAAAGCAGAGGUGAGUGCAAAUGUAUGUGCAGUCUGGUUGAAUUUACUCAACUGUCCUUAUCCUUGUCACCUAAAAGUACCAAAAAGUAAGGUUGUGUUUGGAUUGCAUUUUCCGUCAUUUUUCAUGGAAAAAUUACUGUAGCGAUUUGAUAUAUGUGAGGGAAAAAGGUGAUAGGGAAAUGUGAUCACGGAAAACGAUAAUAUUUUCCGACGAAAACCUUCAAUCCAAGCAAGGCUUUAAUAUUUUUGUAGUUUCAUUUAUUUCGAGUUAGAAAAAUAAGAAGGUUGGUGAAUUAUUCAUUGAAAAAUCUUGAUUACACGUCAAAUAUGUUGAUGGAAAUCUAAUUGGCGUGAUAUUAUUGGUAUUACCAAACCACAUGACAAUGUACAUAUUCAAAAUAUACUCGACUAUGUAUACAUUGUUCGACAAAAUAUAUUGCAAUUAUUAAGCGAUGUCAAUUGUCGCAUAUAUUUAAAAGUUAUUUGACUAUUUAAUACUUUCCUUCACGAAAAUAUGUAUUCAUUUAUUCGACGUUAAAUACUGCACUUAUUCGACGAAAGAUAUUAUUAAACGGUGUCAGUUGUCGUAUAUAUUUAAGAGUUAACGAUGUCAAUUGUGGUAUAUAUUUAAGAGUUAUUUGACUAUUUGAUACUCUCCUUUGCGAAAAUAUUAUAUUUUUUGACGCAUUAAAUACUGUACUUAUUUGACGAAAUAUAUUAUAAUUAUUAAACGGUGUCAAUUGUCGUAUAUAUUUAAGAGUUAUUAACGGUGUCAAUUGUUGUAUAUAUUUAAGAGUUAUUUGACUAUUUAAUAUUUUCUUUCAUGAAAUAUAUUUUAUUUUUGACGCGUUAAAUACUGUACUUGUUCGACGAAAGAUAUUAUAAUUAUUAAAUAGUGUCAGUUGUCGUAUAUAUUUAAGAGUCAAUGGUGUCAAUUGUCGUAUAUAUUUAAGAGUUAUUUGACUAUUUAGUACUUUCCUUCACGAAAAUUAUUAUAUUUUUUAUGUGUAAAAUACUGUACUUGUUCUAGGAAAGAUAUUAUAAUUAUUAAACGGUGUUAGUUGUCGUAUAUAUUUAAGAGUUAUUUGACUAUUUAAUACUUUCCUUCAAAAAUAUUGUAUUUUAUAACGCGUUAAAUGCUGUACUUGUUCGACGAAAUAUAUUAUAAUUAUUAAAUGAUGUCAGUUGUCGUAUAUAUUUAAGAGUUAACAGUGUCAAUUGUCGUAUAUAUUUAAGAGUUAUUUGACUAUUUAAUACUUUCCUUUACAAAGAAUAUUAUAUUUCUGAUGCGUUAAAUACUGUACUUAGUCGACAAAAGAUAGUUAUUAACGGUGUCAGUUGUCUUAUGUAUUUAGAGUUAACGAUGUCAAUUGUCGUACAUAUUUAAGAGUUAUUUGAAUAUUUAAUACUUUCCUUCAUGAAAAUUAUUAUAUUUUGGACGCGUUAAAUACUGUACUUGUUCUAAGAAAGAUAUUAUAAUUAUUAAACGGUGUUAGUUGUCGUAUAUAUUUAAAGUUAACGGUGUCAAUUGUCGUAUAUAUUUAAGAGUUAUUUGACUAUUUAAUACUUUCCUUCGCAAAAAUAUUAUAUUUUAUAACUCAUUAAAUACUGUACUUGUUCGACAAAAGAUAUUAUAAUUAUUAAACGAUGUCAGUUGUCGUAUAUAUUUAAGAGUUAACGGUGUCAAUUGUCGUAUAUAUUUACGAGUUAUUUGACUAUUUAACACUUUCCUUCUUGAAAAAAGAAUAUUAUAUUUCUGAUGCAUUAAAUACUGUACUUGUUCGAUAAAAGAUAAUUAUUAAAUAGAGUUUGUUUGGAUUGCAUAUUAUUUACACCCUAUUUACACGCACUGACUUGUUUGGAUCAUCAGCACAUUUUUCAACCACCUUUUUAUCCCAUACACAUCAUAUUAAAAAAGUAAUACAGUAUUUUUUUCACAACAUUAUCCCAAAUAAUCUCCAAUCCAACAGUGUCAGUUGUAGUAUAUAUUUAAGAGUUAUGUGACUAUUUAAUACUUUGCUUCACGAAGAAUAUUUAUAUUUCUUAAAUACUGUACUUAUCCUGUGAUUAUACGUGUAUGAUUCAAAAGCUACCCAUUUCAAUUUCUCGAGAUUAUACAUGUUGGAGGAUAUCACUCGUUGUGCAUAUCUGAAGAAUACUACGUUCGAUCCAUAGGAUAUUGCAUCUAAAUUUUACUCGACUAUUCAAUACUUUCCUUCAACAAAGAAUACCACACUUAUAAUCCAUCUAAUGUUAUACUUAUCUUGGUUUACGUGUAUUAUUUGAAACUUUUCAAUUUUCUCAACGCUUAAAAUUUCCUUUCUCAAUCUGUUAUGGAACGAAAAAAUUCAUAAUACUAUGCAACAUUACGAAAUGUGGCAGCAUAAAAGUUGACUAAAAAUUUCAUAGUUUUUCUUUUUUUUUAUCGGAGUGCAAUGACCAAAAACAGCGUGGGAUGACAUGAGAUGUGACACGCAGGAAUAGGAUUCCAAGUUAAAUGGUACUGCUACUUGGUAGUAUGACUUCUAAACGUGCCAUGUUUGUGCAACACGCAGGCCACAUUUUUUCUUAGGAUUUCGGAGGACAAAACGUACUUUUCGCAUAAUUUGACUAGACAAGUAUUUUCACAUAGGAAUUUUCGGAAUGUCCAAAUUCUGGGUGCCGUUGCCGCUCUGCCACUUACCACCGACUGCAAACUCGGAAUACCUACCUAAUGUGUACUUAGGAGUAGUGAUUAACAAACGCAUACUCGCUUUUUUUUUUUUGUCAUGGUAACACGUACUCUCUUUUUAUCUUUUCCGAAUUACAGUGCACUCUCUAAUCGACUAAUGCACUUAACUUUUAACUUCUCUAAAAUGUUUUUAUUUAGUGUUGUACUUUGUUACCAUUGAAUAUAACUUGUCUUAUUUAUCAACUGUUUUGAUUCAUGUCGUGAAUGGUGCAACUUUUCAUCAAUGUUAUUGUUACAAUUAAUGUAAAAGUAUAAUAGUUAGUUACACAGCUAAUAUUAAUGUAAGGAUAUUCUAGAAAAAUAGUAGGUUAGAUUUCCAAUAAAGUUAAAUACUCCCUCCAUCCCACUUUGAUAGUCCUGUUUUUUUUCUUUAUCUGUCCGAUAUUGCAGUCCACUUUUCAAUUGAAGAAUGUAGUUGUAUUUUAAUUUAUCUAAAAUACCCUUUGCUCAAUAUAGUAGAUUGUAACUUUUCUUAAAGUGUGUGAAAGAGACUGUACAUGCAUGGAUAUCAAAAUGGGAAGGAGGAAGUACAUGUCAUCAAUGUUUAGAUCAAACUUUUGGUUAGAUAUCUUUGUCAAAUCAAGGUAUAUUUAUUGAUGUUAAUCAAGGUGCAUUUAUUUAUUAAUUAGGCAGCCAUUUUGUGGUUGGAAACCGCAUUGGUAAAGCAGCCUGUAGAUUUUGAUUUGCAAGUCUCCAAGUUAGGUUUUUGAUUGAAGAAACUCAAACUACAAGGAAAAGAUAUUAGUACUAUUUUGAUUACCAAUAUUUUGUGGACAUAUAUUUAUGGUAUAUCCUUAAGGGGAUGGAAGUGAUUGCGUGUGACUGUGCGAGCUUUUCCACAGAUAUGUUCAAUGGUUUGAUUAAUUGUUUCAGACUUGCCUAAAAGCUUGAUCUAUCUCUCUCUUUCCCAAACUUUUGCUCAAAAUUCGAAAGUUCAUAAUUAGUCCAUCCAUAAUAAAUCCUGCUGAAAAUGGAAUUAAUGCAACAGACAUAAUAGACAGUUAUCACCGCCGAAUUUUGUUCCUAAAAUUGUGGUUCCAUUUUUGUGAAUAAGCGUUUUGUUCAUUAUUGGGGAGAUGAUAAUUGCUUUUGUACAAUCUUUUGAAAAGUGUUCAAGGAAAAUACCCUAACAUCUUCGCCAAAUUUUUGUAUCCAUACCAGCAUGCUACACCUACACGGCACCAUGUUGAGUAAGUGAAUAUGAAUCAAUACAGACUAAUCACCCUGCACCCUGAAGUACCCCGCUCCCUAAGAGCACCCAGGCGUUAAGAGAGGUUCUAACCCUGGACCUUGGGACAUUUACGGUUACCCCAAGACCAGAUGAUCUAACCCAGAGGGGCAAUAAACUAUAUGAUUUUACUCAAAUUAUAUAUCUAUUAUUUCAAGUAUAUGUUUAACAUGUCAUUAGAACAUAUGUGUAAAUUAAAUAGUGUUGAACGAUUUCCAACAAUUUGUUAUUGAAGUUUGCUUUUUAUAAAAAAAAAUUAUAUAUAUAAUUUUGCAAAUUGAUCCAUUCGCCCGUGACCAUCAUUUUUAUGACGGGAAAAACUCUUUUCCAUCAAAUCGGUAGGGGAAUUUAAAAGAACAUAAUGAUGAUUAAUGUCUCCAUGCACUUUGUCUAAUUUAGAUUCAAUAAAAGUUUGACUAGGAAUUAGACUCGGUAGACAUAUUGGUACUCCAUAAUUUAUGUCAUGAGGGAAAACUAGAUUUUGAACUUUUCAAUUAAAAUAAAUCAGUCAAACUCACAUAAAUCAACCUGAUACAAAGUUGAGGUUUGAUUGUGGCACGCAAUAUUCAAAAAUCGAUAUUCAUAAAAGAUUUUUAAUUUUUUGGUAAACACAUAUAUCAAAUCAAUACAAUACAUUUUUUUUUUUUUACAAAAACUCCUAAAAAUAACAAUCUAAAGGGUCGGCAGUACAUAAUAAACCAUCUUUACUGCUACAAUAACGAUUGAAAUGUAAAUAAAUACUUCAAUAUAAAUAAGAUAAACAGCUAAUCAUGCCCCUCGUAUAACAAAUAGAGUCUUCUCGAAAUGAUUGACAUUUGACCAAGCCCAAUUGAUAUGAAUAUUAGUUUUAUAAAGUAAACCGUUAGUCAUGCCCCGGUGUAAUAAGAUAUGAACUCGCUCUUGAAAUGAUUGACUUUUGAAUAAUUCCAAUUGAUUUAGACUAUUUAGCAACGGUUAAUAAGGUUAUAAGUGUCAAUUCCCCUACCAAGCUGGCAAAUUCUGUUCUUUUGGCAAACAAUUGACCUAUAUUCUAAGCUCUGCGUGAGAGAGAGACAGAUAGCAAUAGCCAAUAGAAUAUGAUUAGUUUAAAAACAAUGUGCUUUUCUUCACUGUCAUUGUCAUUAUGACUAAUUGAGCCAUAAAGCCUCCAUUGGAGGAGGAACAAAGGCUUUGAUUUGAAGCAAUACUUUUUUACUAAAGCAUGUCUCGGAUAAAUCUUUCAAAUCCUUAUAUAGGCUUUAAAAAAGAUUAAUGAGGCAAGUGGGGUUUGUUAUGUACCGUAAUGAAGUACCCUAAUGCCACAUAAUUUUAGGCCCUACAUGUUUUAUUUAAGGUUAAUUAACCCGAAUUAGUAAUCCUUGCCCAUAAUCACGAAUGGGGAAAAUGAUGUAAAAGCUGAGCCGUGUUUCAGAAUACUGACCUUGCAGGUGCACCACAUGGAAGGCACGUGGCUGGACUCGUUUUUUGGGCUCACAAGGUAACUCCUUUGUUUUUUUAAGGGUUAUUAUCACUUUACUCCCUUAAACUGUAUCACUAUUAUCAAUUUACUCUAUAACAUUAUCUUUUAGUCAUUUCACCCUCAUAAGUAAUUCAACUCAACAUGGUAAGAAAUUUUGGAUGAUAAAAUAUCAUUUUAUUCUAUAGCAUUGCUACAUUGUUAUUAUCAUUUUAUCAUUUUAAAUUAUAGUGAUACAAUCACUUUAAUUUCUAACAUUAUUUUUUGGGCAUUUUACCUCAUCGUUAAUCUAACUAGUAUGAUAAAAAAUUUUAAAUGUAUUUAUCCUUUUUUUAUAUAUAAUUAAAAAUAAAAAAGUUGGAAUGGUUAUUCUUCAUUUUUUUUUCACUUUAAGAGAUCCAAAAAUAUAAAAAUAAAAGGAUUUUCUUAAAUUUUUUUUCACACUUAUUAAUAUUAGGAAAUGAAAAAGAGAUAGGAAAGAAGGAGACAGAAAAUUAGAUUUUACAAAGAAAGAAAAUAAAGAAGAGUCUAAUAUUUGCCGUGUUACUUUAAGGUUGUCGGGAUUACGAUUGGAAUUGAGUGGUAAACAGAUAAAUAAAAUAAUUUUAAAAUAAUAAAAAUAUUUAAUUCUUUCUUAUUUAUAUUUUAAAAAAAGGAAUUGAGCUCUCUCUUUCUCCCUCUCCCACCCUAUCUUUAUUUUUUUUUCAAUAUUAAUGAGAUUACCAAGAAGAAAGAGAUUAAUAUUUUGACUUUUUUUUUAUACUAAAAAGGAGAAGAACCACUCUAAAUAUUUUUAUUUUUUUAUUAUACAAAGAAAACAAUACUUUUUUUCUAAAGUUUUUUAACUUGGUAAAUUGAUUUCAUGGUGGAAUAAAUUGUUUAAAAAAUAACUCUUGAGAGUAAAUUGAUAAGUUUAUGGAAGUAAGGUGAUAAUAAUUUUAAGGGUUAAACAUAUUUUUUCAUUUUAUUUAACAAAUUUCGUUAAAUUUGACCAUUAGUUUUCGGAGUAAAGUGACUAAAAUGUAACGUUAAGAGGAAAAUUGAUAGUAACACUGAAUAUUAAAGGGGCAAAGUGAUAAUAACUCUUUUUUUAAAUAAAAAGUUUGAAUGGUUUCGACUCUCAACACCUUCAAGAACUAGGAUACACUCUUGAUACCAUAAGUCGUUUAUAGGGAUCCCUAUACUCACAUUGACAAUGACAUUCAAACAGACAACUUUUUGUGAAUAAGUAAUUUGUUCUUAUCUACUGAGUUAACUUGUAUUAAUGAAUGCCUCUAUAACUUUUUAGUUUUGCUCUUGAGACCACAAGUUGUUUAUAAAGAUUUUUACUUUCACAUCGACAAUGGAAUUCAAACAGACAACUUUUUGUGAACAAGUAAUUUGUCCUUAUCGAUUGAAUUGACUUAUGUUAAUGAAUGCCUCUAUUGCUUUUUAGUUUUGUUCUUGAAACCAUAAGUCGUUUAUUGACUUAUGUUAAUGAAUGCCUCUAUUGCUUUUUAGUUUUGUUCUUGAAACCAUAAGUCGUUUAUACGGAUUUUUACCCUCAUGUCGAUAAUGGAAUUCAAACAGACAACUUGUUUAUAAACAAAUAAUUUGUCCUUAUCGACUGAGUUGACUUGUGUUGAUGAAUGCCUCUAUUGCUUUUCAGUUUUCCUCCCCAUCAACACGAUUUCCUGUUUGUUGCUUUUUUCUUUAUUAGGCAUUAGUUAAGACCAAAACGUAUUUCUAGAUCUCUCCAGACCAAUGAAUAAUUACAUGAGUAGAUAGUAGGGAUAAUUUCAGAAACCUCCCCUGAGGUUUCUGACAUUUACACUCACCUCCCCUGUGGUUUGAACAAUUACACUAACCUUCCCUGAGGUUACUAAUCCUUUACAAAUUCAGUCCAAAUGAUUAAAAUAUUGUUUUAGAGAGUGAAAUUAGAAUUUUGUACCUGAUUUGCCCUUUGUGCUAUAUAUCCAAUGAAUGACAAAGUAUUACAAAUUAAUUAAUAAUUAAUAAACUUUAAGGAGCGUAGUUUAUAGGUAAAAACGUAUUACUUAUUUAAAGUACUAACUCUUUACGAGUAUUUUACUUUCAAACAUUUACUUUAUUACAAAUAUUUAUUCUCAAAUACAGAUUUGUAUUACUCUCAAAUAUUUAAUUUUUGUUAAAUAAAAAACCUACCAGUUUUUCUUCCGUAGAAAUAUUAAUAUAACACUUUUUCAAUUUUAGUUAUAAAUAUUUAUGUAUUUAGCAUAAAUUAAAUGAUUCAGAAUUAAAUACUCAUAAAGAGCUAAUACUUUACUCAUGUAAUAGAUGAAAAUCAUAAAAAAAUAAUACUUUAUGGGCCAUUUCUUUUUUUAAAAAAUAUUUAAUUUAUGUUAAAUAGAUAACCUACUGAUUUUCUUUUUGCGAGAAUAUUACUGUAACACUUUUUAAUUUUUAAUUACAAACGUUAAUAUAUUUAUCAUAAAUUAAAUAUUUGAAAAUAAAAUAUCUGUAAAGAGUCGUUACUUUAAAUAGGUUAUGUGUAUUUGCCUAUAAACUAUACUCUUUAAAGUAAGGAGUAUAGUUUAUUGAUUUAGCUAGUAGAGAAUCUUUUGUAGGUGGCGGGGUUAGUCCUCUUAAGAGACAAAAAUGUGUAUGCUUUUGGUAAAACGAUUAGUUUAUACGUGUAAGUACGAGCGUGCACACAAAAGUGGUUGGGUCUAUUUGAGAAUAAAUAUUUGUAAUAAAGUAAAUGUUUGAAAGUAAAAUACUCGUAAAGAGUUAGUACUUUAAAUAAAUAAUACGUUUUUACCUAUAAACUACGCUCCUUAAAGUUUAUUAAUUAUUAAUUAAUUUGUAAUACUUUGUCAUUCAUUGGAUAUGUAGCACAAAGGGCAAAUCAGGUACAAAAUUCUAAUUUCACUCUCUAAAACAAUAUUUUAAUCAUUUGGACUGAAUUUGUAAACGAUUAGUAAGCUCAGGGGAGGUUAGUGUAAUUGUUCAAACCACAGGGGAGGUGAGUGUAAAUGUCAAAAACCUCAGGGGAGGUUUCUGAAAUUAUCCCUAGAUAGUAACAUUUUUGUGUUUACUCUAUAUAAAUGUCUCAACUUUCAAACAUCAAGGUGCCAAUUUCAAUCUUAUUGAAUAUGCUUGUGAUUGUGGGUAACGUUACUCAAUCUCUCCUAUUCAUUUUUCCCACAAUUGGCGCAGGUAGAAGAAAAGAAGAAGAAGAAAUAGGGAUUCUUCCAUGCUAAAAAUUUAGUGCAUUGUAUAUUGUAUUCUAUGGUAGUUCUUUCAGAAAGGGUAUACAUUCUUUGUCCCCCCCCCCCCCCUCUCUUUAUUUUUGAUAAGCGACAAGGCAAUAGAAGUAAAUAUUCAGUUCCAAACACAAUAGAAUAAGACUCUUGACCCCAUUAUUAAAUUGAAAGAUCAAGUUUGCACAAAUAUUUGAUUCAUUUCAAACGUGACUUAAUUGGCAAUUUUUCGAUCUCUAUCAAUUUCGAUCAACAGUUUUCCAAUAACAAUGAUGAUAUUCAAGUUUGGAUGUAACUUCAUUUCAACUUCUAUAUCAUUCUGUAUCAUCAAAUUGGGUAUGCCCUUUCACCCAUGAUCAAUGAUGAUAUUCAAGUUUGGAUGUGAAAUUAUCUUCCCCAUGCCCAUCAACAAAUCCAUGCAACAAAAAAGUCCAUAUUUCCUUGAAAAUGUCUGUAGACCAUACCAUGUUUUUCGUGGCAAAACUCAUCACACCAUCGACCCACGUAAUCCCAGAUCAACUAAUGCUAUCCUUUUUCGUUUCAUGCUUUUUAUGUUUUCUUUUCAGGUAAUAAUUUUUUCUUUUAUCAAGUAUAUUUUCUUUUUUUUCUCUCAAUUUAUAAGGUUAUUCAUCCUAUGUGCUUUGUAAAGAUAUACACACUAAUUGAGGUUCGUAAACAGCAAUAUACAUACCUGACCUUUCCCAAGUAAUCAUACUGCACAUUUGUGCAUGAUGAUAAAGACCGCAUAUACAUGGGUGCCUGCCUAGCCAUGGCGUUUCAUUCGGGUGACCACGGCUAAUAUGGCAAUGUCUGGAACUGAUACGAGUAGAUAAUAUACAACUAAAGAAAUAUUGGAAGUUUGGAUGGAAACUAAUUGUAAACAGAGAAUACAAUUCAGAAACUGGUCGAAGAAAAUUAAUGUACUUUUCCUUUUUCACUACGCAUUUAUCCGAGCUAUCAAACAACUAUUUUACUUUUAAUUCCUGUAAUUUUUUUACGACGUAGUUAAAUCAUGAAUACUGGCUUUCCACGUUUAAAGCAAACAAUGACAGAUAAUUUCUGCAUUUCGAAAAGAAUAUAUGUUGUUUUGGCAUUAUAUGGGAACUUUAUCAUGACCUUAGAGGUAAUGUUAUAGUUGGAGAACUUAAGAUUAUACUUCCGCCCCAGAAAGUCUACUAUCAUUGAAGGGUUUAACAUCUUCAAAAUGUAACGAAAGAGGAGGAAACAAAGUUAGUCCUGAAAUCACAAAAUUUGUCAAUAACCUUUUUUAUAAUGUUUUGUGUGAAAAUGAUCUUUUUCCUCUGCAACUCGGUAGGAAGAUACAAGAUGAUUUAAGGGUAGUUGUCCUGUGAUUGUACACAUAUUAAUGAUAAUACCGACUUGUGACCAAAAAAAAAAAAAAAUUUGCAGCAUUUAUUGUCUUCAAUGAAUCAAGCUUUACAACUUACAAGAGACCCUAAGUAGUGUCGGUUACCAAUCCUAGACUCAAACUAAAGUAACAUCUUGAUCUGGUUUUGGAAAAUAACCUUGUUCUUGAACUUGUGCAAUUGUCUCAUUCAAGCUGAGGUCAAAAAUUGCAGCUUCAUCCAGAGCUGACAGCCCUCAAGUACUCCCUCAAGAACCCAUCCAAUGUGGUCCUCAACCCUAUCUAAGUGGGCAUAUAUGACACUUCUUGUUAGUUUAUAAUAAUAACAUUAAUAAUAGAGAUCAUAGUGGGUAUUAAACUAUAGCAAAUCUAUGCUAUGCAGCUAUUGGUAAUUGUAUAUUUAGGCUUACCCUUUACUUAACAGCUAGCUAUUGCAUUCCUACUUCCCGUACUUUAGCGAAUCAUGGCACGGCUCUUAGAAUUUGUUAAUUUGUUGGUUUCUUGGCGUCUCCUUAAAAGCUCAAUUAGAUGCUCCUUCCACAGAUGCCUUGCACGAGCUGGCCUUCCAGAACAAAAGAUAUGUAGAAUUCUAUGGCAUUUUUCUCAAUGCUCUAUAUAUCUAUUGUCUUAUCCUCUUCAUCCUCCACUGCGUCCUUUAAAAAAAAUGCCUAAACAUUCUUCAUCUUCUUCAGUGUAAUGUAAAAGUGGUUGCAGGACAACUGCAUGAGACAAAUUUACUAUAACAUCUCAUGAACUCGAAAGAUAAUUGGUUGUGAAAGAUAUCAGAAGAAUGUGGUACUUUGGAUCUUGAUCCCAUGGUGUCAAAGGGGUGAUUCCAAAACCAUCAUCUUGAAAUUGAGAGAUGAAAGGUAAGUGACUGAGAGUCUGUCAAUGAAAUUAUGAUAUUUUAUAUAUAAAAAAAGUAUUAAAAAUAGCCUCAAUACGUUAUUAAUCACUUUUUAGUUUUCAAUCAAAAUGUUAAUUCUAGGAUACGUGUAGGACUUUAAAGAAAUAUAAGAGUGGACUAUUGCAGGUUAAAAUGUUGUAUCCUAUUGAUAGACAAGAAUAACCAUGAAUCUUCUAAUUUUGAGUCUUUAUGUUAACAGAAGCUAUUGUUCAUCGGCAACUAUAUCCGUAGUCAAACAAUAUUUUGGAAUUCUUUUCCAAAAAAAAAAAAAUAUUUUUUGGAAUUAAAUUGCUUGCAGAAAGCUAUUUUGAAAUAUUCAACAAGUCUGUUUAAUUAAAUUGAGCCCAUUAAUGAACUUGCAUCUUGUUUCAACAUUCAAGUUUGGCUUACAAUUAUAAAGAAUUAGCUCUCGAUAAGUCGCAUUCGCUUUAAAGAAAGUCCUUGUCAAAGUGGGCUUCCAACUCUAAUUAUCAAAAUUAAUUCUAGCCUCCAAAAUUCUCAUAUCCAGCAUAUUAUUUUUCUUUUCCAGGUAACAUAUAUAUAAUUGAGUACUGAUACAGUUGAAUAGUUGGAGGGCGAAGAAACGAUUAUGGGCCUCACCAUUAUAUAUGUCCUUAGAUUCCAGAAUAUCAAUGCUGAUGCUAUAAAUAGUCUCAUAAUAUGAUCUGGAUUCAGUCCAAAAUUUGUGGUCUCAUUUAAUUUGCAUCACCCACUGUGCUGUUCAAAAUCAGUGUUCAGAGUUCAGAGUCCAUGAACACGUAUUCUUGCGUGGAAACUAGCAUGGUGCAAAUCUUUUAUUGUUUAUUCACUUGUCAUAAUAGUUCUGAUCAUACAACAUAGCCAACAAUUACACAGAAAUUUGUGAAUCAACCAAGACAAGGAGCAAAGUUCAAGUUAACGGUGCAAGUUUCAAUAAAAAAAAGCUAAGGAUUAGGUUGCUUUUUACCAAGUUAAAUGAUUUCUGUUAAGUUCGAAAGGUCAGCUUGUAAAGGCUAUAAACCACGAUGUAGGACCAAUUGUUACAAACUGCACUCCCCAAGCUCACAAGGGUUUAUGUAAUGAGCAGAAGACUCCUUCCCAGUUCCCACAAAGAGUAUCAUUUCUUGAUGCCAGAACUUGUCACGCUAGCUCUUUAAGGUAUUCUAAUGUUUGAUUUGAAAGAAUUGACGCCACAAAGUUGCCUCUGAAUUAAAGGCACGUUAAAUAGUGGAUGCUUUGGGUACUUUGUAUUGUAGACAUCAACUUUCAACCACUAUAUGAUCUUUGACCUCAUUUUCUUGGAGGAAACAAUAUUCUGAAAAUUACUUUAAGAAAGAAUGACACUUUAUAUGCAUAAAGUCCAUCAUUUACAUCUUUAAAUCAUCAACAAUUUGGUAACAAUCCAAUCACACAAAUGCUUUGGAACAAAUCACAGUAUAUUAAUAACCACCAAAUUAUUUGCCAGGGACAAAGUUUGUUGCAUAUGCCCAGGCAUUGUUGUUCACUGGAUCAGCAAGGUGAUCAGCUAGGUUCUCCAAAGGUCCUUUUCCAGUUACAAUAGCUUGAACAAAGAAACCAAACAUGGAAAACAUAGCCAACCUACCAUUCUUGAUUUCCUUGGCUUUAAGCUCAGCAAAAGCCUCAGGAUCAUCUGCCAAUCCAAGAGGAUCAAAGCUCCCUCCAGGAUAAAUAGGAUGAGUCACCUCCCCAAGCGGUCCACCGGCAAUUCUGUAGCCCUCCGCAGCCCCCAUUAAGACGACUUGUGAAGCCCAGAUGGCUAAAAUACUCUGUGCAUGAAUUAAGCUUGGGUUACCUAAAUAAUCAAGCCCACCUUCACUGAAAAUUUGUGAACCAGCUUUGAACCAAACUGCUUCUCCAAACUUGACACCAUUUCUUGAUAAAAGCUCAGGAAAAACACAACCAAGUGCUCCAAGCAUAGCCCAUCUUGAAUGAAUAACUUCUAACUCACGGUUCUUGGCAAAUGUCUCGGGAUCAGCUGAGAGGCCGGCUGUAUCCCACCCGUAAUCACCAGGGAAUUCUCCGGUAAGGUAAGACGGCGGUGAGCCGGAUAAGGGGCCUAAGUAUAGAACUCUGUCUGGACCAUACCACGGACUCCCUGAUGAUGGUUUUGGUUUUGCUACAGUUUUUCUCAUGGUAACUCUUCCUUCACCAAGUCGCUCUGAUGUUGAUGGGGCGAUUUUUACGGCUUUUCCUGCGAAUGAAGGUGAUGAAAGAGCCAUUGUUGAGGCAGCCAUGGUUGUUUUGAGGAAAUGGUUUUGAUCAGCGGUUGAAUGUGGAAGAAACUAUUAUAAUUUGUUGAUGAGGACUUUCUUGAAUGGAAUAUGAUUUUAUAGGUGUUGGAGAAGUGAAAAAGGUCGAAGGUCCUCAUCCAAUGCUAUCUUUAUCUUUUUUCCCAUUGGUGAGAAUAGGCUUUGGGAUUUUCUUGUGUAGUCUUCUUCUCUCUUUUAGGCUUCAAACAAUCUGUUAUGAUAUACUACUAGAUUUAUUUACACUUUUUCCUUUUCUUGAAAUUUUCAAGGAUAUUAGUUGCAUUUAUUCCAGCCAAUAAAACUAGUCCACGUACUGAGUUGAGAUGAAAGUAUGGCUUUUUUUUUGGUUUUUUCCUCUUUUGAAGGAUAUUGUGAAUACCCCAUUGGAUUAUUUGUGUAUAUUGAUUCAACUUGGUUGAGACAUACACAUGUUUUUUAUCACAUAGGGAAAAAAAAAGAGAUGUGGGUAUAAACCUCAUCCCUCUAGCCGAAAAUCGAAAACACAACAAUAGCAAAUUUAUACAUUUGCCACUACUACUUGCAUUCAUCUAUUAUCGAGAACUCAAUGUAGAAAAGAAAUGUACUAUACACAAUAUGGCAUUGAAAGUGAUGCAUUGAAAACAAAGGAGGAACUCAAAUAACCUUCCAAAAUCAUCCUCAAGAAGAAGGCUUCCAUUUCUUCCAUGGCUUUAAACUUCAGCACUGUUCCUUUAUACCAAAAACCCAAUUCAAUUAUUGUUCCAAAAUAUAAGCCCUUUUUAUGUUCAUCUCCUUCACCUUCUUCUGCCAUAGCUGCUGUAUCUGAGAAAACAGGUGGUGGAGUUGCAGAGGAGGACCGUCCUGCUGUUUCUGGUACACUCUGUUGUUCUUGAAUGUUUUUUCUUUACAUUUCUUUCAACUAAUCUAAAUGAACUAGGAAAUAUGUCCAUCUCAUGACCGCAAUUUUCUUGUUUCUUGGCAAUUUUGCUGCCACUUUGAAGUAAGCCAGUUGUUAUAUUUUGCGUGUGUGUGUGUGUGUGUUUUCUUUCUUUCUUUUAUUAAGAAGCCUCUUCAUUAUUUUGACUGGGAAAUGUUGCUUCCUGAUUAACGAGCCUGAGCUACUGCAUAUUCCAGUCCAUUUUUGUUACAAAAGAAAGCUCUAGUUUUUGUUUAACUAUUGAUUGACAUAGUUUAGCUGACUGAUUACUUCCACUUUUCUCAAAGGGUCCUCUUCUACUCGGAUGCAACUGGAUCUCUUGGAGCAACUCACUGGUGGCUCACCCGUUGAUGGUACUUCAACUCAAAUUACAAUCUCAACUCCAGAAACAUGAACAUAGAUUAUUGAAUACUACUACAUUACAUUUUAUAUCUGUAACGACAUUUGCUGUAGGUUAUGAGAGUGAUGGGAGCUCCCCUGGACUAACAAUUCGGGAUCAGCUUGCUAAUUUGGUUGGAGAGAGAGAUGACGAUUUUAUCGUUCCACUUGGAAAAAAUCUGAAAAAGGUUAGCCCAAAGUUCUUAACUAUUUCACAGAAGAGGAACAUCAAAAGACAGGCUUACCUGGAUGAAGUAUCUCAGAGGAAUGAUUCAGUUUUCUUUGCUACAAUUGGAGCAUUUGUAAUCCUUCCACCUGUUAUUAUCUUAGGAAUUGCUGUAGCAACUGGCUAUGUCCAGCUUUUCCAUGACAUAUAAAUGUAUGGUAUGUUGAAAAAUCACUCUCAACACUAGCAUGAUGAAGUAGGCAAUGCUGCAAAAUGUUCUGAAAGAUCUUCUGUUAUAAUUGGCAUUCACCAAAACAGUUGCGUCCUUAUUCUAAACCUCUACAAGAAUAGAUGAUUGUCUUUACACGUGAAUCUUUGGCAUCUUACAUCUUCAUGGCUCAAUUGUCUACGUGUACUUAAAUAUAUGGCUUAUCCAGAUUGUAAUUGCAUAUGAGUACAAUAUGAAAAGAAUAUUUGUGUUGUUGCACCAUUUUUUAAUCGUAGCAAUAUCUAAAACUGAUUGGCACUUGGUUCGUCCUGAUCUUUUUCCUUCCUUCCUCUGUUUCUUCCUUUGUAAUUAUAGUUUCCAUAAAGGUCUGAACUUGGUUUUUAGGGUGAUAAUGUGCUGGUGCAUAUAAGUUCUCGUGUAAGAUGCUUGUCUUGAUUGUUAAGUUGUUUGCCAAAAGCAUCGAAUCGCAUAGCUGCGAUUACUUGGCAUCUUACGUCAGUCUGCUGUGUAAUCCACUGGUCAUCUAAGAUUGAAUGUGCUAUAGUAAUCUAACUACACUCAAACAUCAAACUGUUCCUUGUUUUGCAACCGAAGUGUACAUGUUUGUGGGAAAUACAUGAUAUUGGAAGUCUGGCCGCAUAAACUGAGGGAGCAAAUGACGCCUUAGAUGUAUAAAGUGCAAACCAACGAAUACUCCGCUUUUCUAGCGGCGUCAAGCUAUCACACUGGAGUUCAAAAUGAAGAAUGGUUAGAAAGAAAUCCCAUGUCAGUAGAAGUAAGCUUUUUCCUAGAUUCUUCUGUCAACAAGGCUCUUCUGCUGUUUCCUUCUGCUUAUGUGUUGGUGAAAUCUCUUGUUCGGUAGGUUGUACAGGCUCAUUGCCUAAAAUUACUCCCUGUUUCUGAAUGUACUCCCAUUUUUCUUGGAAAAGAUAGAGUAAGGCGAUAAUACAGAUUUCCGCUGUGAAAAGAAUGGUCCAGAUUCGUGCACUUCUUGAAGUUUUCUUACCAUAAGCUUGUAAACCAGUGUAUAUAUUGAUGAUUCCCAGCACAGAAACUGCAGUCCCUAGUAACCAGUGAACAAAAAACCAUCCACUCCUUGCGUUGCUGCCUCUGAAAAAAAACAUGGUAAAUGCACUCAGAAACUAAAUGUCCCUAAUCAAUUGCAUCUCUGAAAAUUAAAAAAAUAUAUGUAUAAUUUCUAUGGUGGACAUAUCACAUGCUUUACCUAUGUGGUCGUAUUAUACCAACCAACAUUUGCAGCCAGACAAGACCGUAAAGCGCUAAUCCCAACCUUUGAUGAUCAUUGUUGAAAGCGUUCUCAAAGUUUAUAAAGGACAUUAUUGCUCCAGCUGUCAAAAGGAGAACUGACAGUAUCUGCAGAACAGAAAUAUUAUCUGUUAGAUGAUGAUGAAGGAUAGCUUGUAAUUCAUACCAUUGUAUGAAUAACCUGGGUCUAUUGAUCUGGAACAACAUAAACAUGCUAACGUUUUAUGUUAAUCAGGAAAUUCCUGAACUUAGCGUAUUAACUGUGUGCAAUGUAUACGUGUGUAUUACAGCUUAUGCCAAUUAAGAAACCUAAAAAGUUCUUUAUGGCUUUUAAACAACAGAAUUUUCAUAAUUGCCUUUUCUUCGUCUCCAAGUAUCCAUUAUGAAUAACAAAAAACAUCUUUCCGGAUUAAGAAAUAUGAACUAAGUAAUUAUUAUCAACAGACGGUGGGUAAGAUUAAUUAUUUGCAACAUGGGAAUCAUUACUCCUUUUUCUUGAACCAUCAUGAACCAAGAAAAUCAAUCUCACCAAGAAAAUUUUCUAGCAGACAAUGUUUAACAUAAUUAUAGUUGUCAUGCAAUUAUCUGGAGGAUAGCAGUUAAUAUUGAAGUGAAGAAUGGCAAUCAAAAGUUAACUGUAACUGAAAACAACCAACUUUGACUUGCCUGUAAAACACCAUGAAUGUAGAGUAAGAUUUUUAGCCGUCUUCCACAUUCCUCUCUGUUUGACUUCCUCAUUACAAGUAUUCCAACAGGCACCAAGAAACCCAUGGAAGCCCAUAACAGAAAUCCGUGGAUCGCAAUCUCAGAUGAUAGUUUAGCAGUCAUCUAAUUGAUAAGGAAAAGUUUUACCGUAAAUUUCUUCAAAAAAGGAUUACUUUAUACAUGAAUUCCUUAUCGAAAUGAUCUAAAUAUUAAUGAAUCCAAACCUAGAAUUAGAACACCUGAUAUGCCAUGCAUGAAAAUGAAUUACCUGUGUUUUGUUUUUGCCGCUUGAAUGAGUAUUGCCUGUUUUUAUAUGGACGAUAGACGAGCACACAACUAAUGGAAGUUGAGUAAGAACAGCCAGGGGCAAGCUCCUCUGCUUGUAAAGCAUGAUCAAACCCUUCAAGGACCAAUACUGCUUGUCUUGUGUUUUGAGGCUUCAAAUUACCAGUAAAAGCUGCAAUUUAAUUUUGACUCUUGAAUUAUAGAGAGAGCAGCGGCCACAGAACUUGUUCUCUUAAAUACAUAUAUUCUCCUAGGCAGGCUCAACUACAUUGCUUUUUCCACCACUGCAAUGCCCAUCUUUAUGACAACUAGUUUAUUUGCUGUUGUAUAGAGAACAUUAGGGGAAGUUGAGCAUUAAUCUUCUCGGAGGAGCAUCUCCUCUUUCUGUCUAAAGAAGCUAAAGCUGGACCUCUGUGAAUCAACUAUUUUAUGCACAUUCCUUUUGAAAUCCACCGGCAAGACUUUUUAUAGCCAAAGAAGCAAGAAAUGGUUGUUUGGACAUUGGCUGUUGUUUCAACCUGGUGGGACCACUUUAACAGGCUUUUUCAUUUGAUGGGAAGAAUAUUUGAUUACAAAGUAGAAGAAUGUCAGUAGUAUGUCAAAACUGAAAAGAAGAUGACUCAGUAGUCGACAGAAAGUAAUACAAAAUAUUAUCCUUUACGAGUCCAACGUCCAGAGAUCACUACAGAAGGUGUUAAACUUUUGUCUUCCUUAAUGCUCGAACAGACUGGGGAUGUGUAUACCAUCCCUUUGUGGGAUUUUAGCCUCUGCUGGAAUGAACGCUACUUUUGACCAAAUAUCUUCCAAUUAGACAGACAACUUUUCUUGAAAAUCAACACGUCUUCAUAAACUUGCUCCCGGUUUCUGAUUUGCAUCCUAUUUUAUGUUCUUUUCUUGAAGUUCUGUUGUGGAAGUCGAUAAUGUGGAGAGGCUUUAUGGCAUAAUCAGGCAUAAUUGUUGAUGUAGUACAGAUUAGAUUGUUUCUGCUGUACUUUAAAUCAGUGGCAUAAUAUGAUUACUUCCGAGGCAUCUCGCAGUUCAAAGACACCAGCAAAUAAGCUAAUCUAAAGUUCUGUACUUAAAUCAUUAUAACCACCAUAAUGGAUAACUAUAGAGGUAUUUAAGUUAGAUUUUCAGCUCAUAAAAUAGGUAAGAAGUACCAUCUUAGAAUCAUUAUGUGGUUCUUACAACUUUGCAUAUCAUGUAUUCGUAAUCAACUGAUCAGGUUACUGAAAUUGAUUUGACACAGCACCCCCUCUUGAAAAGGUACGUGGCCCGGAAAAGCUAUGGCUACUACAGCACAGAGAGCAUGAAGAGAAUGGUUGAGCAUGAUAAUUUAGCUCUUUGCAACUUUUUUCUUGGGGGGGGGGGGGACCUCCAUUAUCAAGCACUGGAUUUGAUUCUUGGAUGCCAUGAUAACAAUUUGGAGCCUACGUUGUUGAUGCAUCUGUUUGCCUUUAUGUUUCACGUGGUCCAGAUCCAACAAUGCACUAAUUGAUCUUCCAAUGCAUGGUUUAUACAAUCCAACGACGUACCUGAGGAGUGAAUUGUCUCCAUCGAAGUGAUUCAGCAGCAUUACAGGGAGGAACCAGUUUCCUUGAAUGUCUUAUAUUAGAAGAAGUGCAACAAUUUUGAAAUUUACCCUUCAGCUCCUCUAUAGCAACAAGCUCGUGAUGGUUGGUGAAGACUGAAAAGAGUGAUGAGACUAGAAAAUUUGCAGCGGUAAUAAUAACAGUAGUAACAACAAAUAAUGAUUGUAAUAGCUAAUCAUGAUGACAGAAACAGGACCAUGCAUGAACAAACCAAACCCUGGUAUGCAUGCUCUUGUUAACUGUCAAUUGAUUGAUGUUUUCUCGUAUGCAUGGUGAGUAAGUAUACACAUCAAUUAUUCAAAUAAGCCUUUUCCUUUUUUCUUCUUUGUUUUUGCCUUUUUCCACAAAAUAUUUGAACGCCAAAUUGUUAAGCACCAUCAAGAAAAAAGUCUCUGGUGCCCAAAGCUGAUUAGCAUUGUUCAUAUUCCCUUUUUCUACCACCCGACACAUUCCUCGCCAGACGACUCAUAUUUGAUGGAAAUCAAACUAACUAGAGCUUUCUUACUAUGACUGCACGUAGUUGAACAAACUAUCGGAUUACAACUACAAAAUCAAGAUGCAAAAAUGUGGUAAUAUAUAUGUAGGAAGAGGAGCGUGAUCUUAACCAAAUUGGAGGAACCUGCGAAGGCUUCAACUUUUGGAGUAGGUGUCACGUAAGGGUCGGAAGCAGCGGCGCAUGGUUUAGACUUGAGACCGCACACAUGAGCUAAUAAUUUCAUCUUUUGCAAGAAGGGGAUGGAUCUGUUAAAAUUCGAUCCCACCACUACUUUCUUCGGUCAAAAAACUUAAUUAAUAAUAAAAUUUCUUCCACUGGAAUUAUGAAAACUUAGGUCCCAUUUCGAUUGCUAUUUUUUAGAGAUUUUAUCAACAAAAAAAAAUUAUUAUACCGAUUUGAUAUAUAUGAAGUAAAUGAUGAUGAAUGAAAAACGUAUUCACGACAAAGUUAAAAAUUUUUCUACGAAAAAACUACAAUCUAAACAUCAACUUAACGAAGAAUUAGGACCCACGUGUUCAGCUAACUUUUUUUUUCUCCUUUUAUAUGUAUUAAAAAAUGUUUUCAGAUAAAUCUUAAGAGGAACGGCAAUUCCAGACCAAAAAUAAUACCUUCUUUUUUUAAAAUAAAAAUAAUGCCUUCAAACAUGGAAAUUUUUUUGUUGAAUUUUAUAAAUCAGCCGUUGGUAUAUUAUUUAAAAAAUUAUACGUUUAAUCACUUUUUACUUUUAAGUACUUUUUUUUAUUUUACAUAUAUCAUACGAACAAAAAAUAAAAAAAAAAGAAAAAAAUGCACCCGUGGCCAUUACCAAUUGGUCCAAUUCAAGGGGAACUUCGGCUCAAGGAAUUUUAUCAUGCAGUACAUUCUUUCUUUUCCUUCCUGGAGGACAAAAUUAAGACAAAAUUUUACUCCCCGACCCGUAGUUUUUACUAUAUUCUUUUAGAACCCCCGAUUUUUCUUGAACUUUCUUUUCCUGUUUUUUUGUCCUUCUCUUUCCUACAGCACUCUCCAGUCUAUCAAAUUUCUCAGCGAUCACAUCUACUAAAUUUCCGACCUUGACUGAUCGCCGGCCACUGGUAACCACCGCAAUCAUGGCCGCAGUCUCAGUGGCGGCGGAAUGGCAGCUCCUCUACAACCGCUACUACCGGAAACCCGAACUGUACCAAAUGCAAUGGAAGCAUGUGGACCUCACGCGGAACAAGGUCGCCUGCGCACCCUUCGGCGGUCCUAUCGCAGCUAUCCGCGACGACGCCAAAAUCGUCCAGCUCUACUCCGAAUCCGCCCUCCGGAAACUCCGUAUCUUCAACUCUGCCGGCGUCCAGAUCUCCGAAACUGUCUGGAGAAACGCCGGCGGACGGUUAAUUGGCAUGGCGUGGUCCGACGACUUAAAAUUAAUUUGCAUAACCCAAGAUGGCACCGUUUAUUGCUACUCCUUCCACGCUGAGCUCAUCAAGACCCUAUCCCUUGGUCAAGACGGAUUAAAACACAGCAUUGUGGAGUGCGUUUUCUGGGGAAACGGCGUCGUAUGCAUCAAUGAAGCCGUCGAGCUCUACUGCAUACCCGAUUUUAAUAAUCCGAGCCCAAUAAGGCUGGCGGAUACGGGUUUGGAAGAUAUGCCGUUGUGUAUGGCCGUGAUCGAGCCACAAUAUACGAUGUCGGGAAAUGUGGAGGUUUUGUUAGGGGUUUCGGAUUCUGUGAUGGUUGUAGAGGAAGAUGGGGUGCAGCAGACUGGCGCCGAAAUUGGGCCAAUUCAGAAAAUGGUGGUUUCCAGAAAUGGAAAGCUUAUAGCUUCCUUCACUCAUGAUGGAAGGCUUCUUGUACUCUCCUCGGAUUUUUCCAACAUUAUUUUCGAGUACACUUGUGAGGUAAGGCUGUCUAGCCUGCUGCUUACAUGAUUAUUUGUUUUUUUUUUCGCUGUAUUGCCAAUUAAACGUUCGAUCGGAAAAAUGUUGAAUUGGAAAUAUUUUUUGUUGUUUGUAGUCAGCAUUGCCUCCUGAGCAGUUAGCUUGGUGUGGAAUGGAUAGCGUGUUGCUUUACUGGGAUGAUAUGCUUUUGAUGGUUGGUCCUUAUGGAGAUCCAGUUCGCCACCUUUAUGAUGAACCGAUUGUGCUUAUUCCGGAAUGUGAUGGUGUGAGGAUACUUUCCAAUACUAAUAUGGAGUUCCUGCAACGUGUUCCGGAUUCUACUGUAUCCAUUUUUCAAAUCGGUAGUACACAGCCUGCUGCUUUACUAUAUGAUGCCUUGGAUCACUUUGACCGCCGAAGUGCUAAGGUGAGGGUCUCCUUUGUCAGAGUUUCUCAACGUGUGUUCAUGUGUUCUAGAUAUAUAAGGCUGAAAAGAUUUUACAGUAGUAGGUUUGUCUUAAGGAUCUGUUUGCUGUUAGGUAAACAGGGAAAUAUGUGAGGAACGUAGCUGGAUCACUUUUCCUGUUUGUAUAUCUAAUUUUGAGUAUCAUACGCAUCAUUGAAGAAAGAAAAUGUUCUAAUGGAAAAGAAGAGUUUUUUCAACCCUUUUGUUUAUAUGCAUGGUUUUGGUGAUUAGACUGUAAUUUGAUCCUCCUUCAUUUGGGAAGUUAUGCGGCUAUAUGGUGUUUUCCUAGGAGCCGCUUCAAGAAUAAUAUUAUGUUUUGUGAAAUCAUUUUCUGCAAAGGCACCUAUUGCUAAGUGGCUUAAACUGCUUACUAAUCGAGAAUUGAUCAUUAAAUGGCAACUAUCCUACUGCUGAUUAGCAAGGCGUCUGCUUUUGAGGAUAAAGAAGAAAUGAGGCUACUUUGGUACCCUGCUUCAGUUGUUUCAUAGUUUCCUGCUGGUCUCCUCUUCUCAUUUCUCUGCCUUUGCUUACUUUCACUAUAGUUAGCAAUUUUCGGAUAAUGUUCUUUUAGUAAGUAGAGCCUAGACACACCGCAAAUGCUCCAUAAAUUGGAAAUGUAUUGUUACGGCAGUAGAAGACUAGAAGUCGAUCUGUAUUUGUGUUCUAUACUUGGAUAGAAUAUUUUCAUUAUACACGUGUCUUAGAGUGCUGUUGCUUCUUUGUAAAUGCCUUGUUAGUUUAUUAACAAUUUUCAGAGACUUGUACAGCUAAAUGUCUUCUCUUCAUGAAUACACACAGUAUUUUCCAUGUCCUUGCAUCAUGAGAGCGUUGUUUUCUCAGUUUUGUGCUAAAUCUUCGAGCAAUAUGUGUUCAUCAGAUGUUCCAGUGCAAGAAUGGAAUACUAUGGUAUUGUAACAGUAUAAUUUUGUUAUCCAUACAAAGAAAUCUCAACAAUGAAAUUUUCUUCCAGGCAGAUGAAAAUUUGAGACUUAUUCGCUCUUCGUUGCCUGGGGCUGUUGAAGCUUGUAUAGAUGCUGCAAGUCAUGAAUUUGAUAUUUCACAACAACGAGCGUUACUCAGAUCUGCAAGCUAUGGCCAAGCCUUUUGCAGGUCAGUGGUUAUAAUCUUAUUGCAGUAUGUGAACAUCAAAUGUCAUCUAUGAUGAGAAAAUUGGGUUUAGGCUUGAGAGUGUCGUCUUUAAUUUAAUGCCUCACAUGGAUGAGCUAUUCAAAUUAUCUUCUUUCCAUUUGUCUUAUGUAUGAAAACUGUAUGUACUUCAACACAAUCAAUUAUAUAAGCUAGUGGGAAAGACACAAACCAAUAUGUGCAUACUAGAAGAAAAAUGUAUUAGAAAUUAGCAAGGUGUGGAAGUUAUUGGAAGUUACCAUAAGUUCAUGGUUUUCUGUUGGUCUUUUUGUUGUAAAUAACAAUCAAUGAUGUAUAAAUGGAAAUCUGAAAAGUGACAUAAAUGAUAACACCAAUGCCCUCAUGCCUUUGCUGUAUCUAUGGUAUAUAUGGAUGAUUAAGCGUCAGGCUGUGGGUAAUGUUUUGUGUCUUACCCUUAAUAUUUUCAAUACUAGCAGAUGACAUCUCUUCUUAAUUAAGACUCUUAACUUUUUCUUUGAUUGUUUACUCAGGUGCUCUUCUUUGUUUUUCUACACCCCAGUCAAAUAUUAAAAAAUUUGCAUAUUGUUAAGGUGUUCUAUAUUAUUGACUGAGAAAAACCAAAGUUUCUAUGUCCACGUUUGAAUACUUUAUGUUGCUUCACAUCAUAUGGUUCAUGCAUUUUUUAAAUCUAUUACCUAGACUUACACCCCUUCAUUACAGUCCCUUUUACAUGGAAAGGGAGAUAAAAAAAUUGGAUUGUUUAAUGCCUUGAAACAAGAAAUAUUGGAUUAUUCCAUUCAGUUUCACUAGGUAUGCAAACAGUGUAAAAAUAGGUAGAGGCUAUGAUGACAUGCAACAAGUGUAUACAAAACUUGCUGCUACUUUGCUUGAUAUUUUCCAACCUGACGUUUCUCAUUCUGAGAUUGAAAUUAAUAAAUAAAUGCAUUUAUAUUCAUAUAUUGUACUCAGCAAGCUAGAGAAAUGAAGGAUAAAAUGGAGUUGUUUCUUUCUUUUACCCGUGCCACAAAACUUCAGUUGGAUCUCUUUUCCAUGCUGCUGGAAGAAAAUUGUUUUUCUGAUUCUUGUCUUGAUAAUGAUAACCAGUUGGCUUUGGCAGCCAAUUUCAGCGCAAUCGCAUCCGUGAUACGUCUAGAACUUUACGAGUUCUGAAUGCUGUACGCCACCCUGAUGUCGGGAUUCCACUCAGUAUUCAACAGUAUAAGGUCCUUCUUGCUUCACAUGUUAAUUUUUUUUGGAAUUUUUAACUAUUUUCUAUAAUUGUUGAAGGCUAUCAAGUUGUCUUUCUCUGUCUCCUAUCAGUUGCUUACACCAUCAGUUCUGAUUGGACGUCUGAUUAAUGCUCAUCAGCACCUUAUAGCUUUGCGGAUAUCAGAAUAUUUAGGGAUAAAUCAAGUAAGUUAUGAUGUUGUUUCUGUUAUCAGUAUAUUGCAUUUGACUUUUUCCUGUAAGCUGAAAAGGGCGAAUCUAUUGGUAAACUUAUUUCAUCCAAGCCAAGUCUGUGUUCUGUAUGUGACGACAGUAUAUAACUAUACCAUUUUUUUGUUCUUUUCACAUGUUAGUAAUCUAUCGUGUGUUUAUUCUCUUUUAUUUUUUGAACUCAAUGAUAUCUUUUCAUUCUUUCAUUUGCAUCAUGUGCAGGAAUUAAUAGGAGCCUGUAGGGUAUAUUCUUCUGCGGUUUAUUGGAUUUUCAGUGCACUAACUUUUCUUUGUUAAGAGCCCAUUCAAUGUCAUGAUUCAUUUUGUAGGUUAAUAGUACUUUGUCACUGUUUGGCCUCAAAGUUUUCCGAUCUGAUUUGUGUUGAGGGCGGAUGUUUUGUUGGGUUUAAGAUAGUGAAGUUGUACUUGGUGUGAUACGUUGACUUCUUCUUUUCACCCUUCCUAUUACCCUCAACACUUCAUUUUUUGAAUCUUUCUUCUCAUAUUCAUUAUUUGAUCUUGAUUAUGUGAUGAAAAUAGUUUUUGCAAGCUUGCAGAAAUGGCUUUAGAUAGAAUGAUCACAAACAAGAAAGGAUAGAUAGAAUGGUCUACUUCAACUAUUUGUUUGUGCUAAAUUAUAAAACUACAACUGCUCCAAAUCCACUUUUAUUUUAAUUCUUUAUAUGGGUUAUUUUUCUUUUCACGUAGCAUAUGAUUCCAUACUAGGCUUUGUCCUGCUUACUCUUUUGGGAUUUUCUGCAGGAAGUCGUCAUCAUGCAUUGGGCGUGUAACAAAAUAACUUCUUCAUUGGCAAUCCCCGAUGCUGAUCUCCUUCAAAUCUUGCUCGAUAAGGUCUUUGUUCAGAUUUAGUAAUUUCUACAAUCUUUUCUGCUCAUAAUGUGUGGCUUAAUCAAUUGUUUGGCAAUUGCAGUUGAAGUUGUGCAAAGGUAUAUCUUAUGCGGCAGUUGCUGCCCAUGCUGAUAAGAGUGGCCGCAGGAAAUUAGCCGCCAUGCUAGUUGAACACGAACCUUGUUCCUCCAAGCAGGUUCCUUUGUAUUUUCCUUGUAUAGUUCUUUUGUGAAGUAUGCUUGCUAUUUUUUUUUUUUUUACCAUGUUGGUAUCUUCAAUGUGCCUUGCGGUUUCUAGAUGACUGCUGUGCUUUUUCUUCUGCAUGAUGCUUGGUUAGGUUCCUCUCUUGCUUAGGAUCGGAGAAGAAGUUACUGCUCUAGCCAAGGCAACUGAAAGUGGAGAUACUGAUCUUGUUUAUCUUGUCCUGUUUCAUAUCUGGCAGAAGGUGCUUGAUUACUUUAAGAGUAGUAUUUUAUCCCUCAAUAAAUGUUUAUUUUAUUAUUGAGGAGUACUAACUUGUCAAACAAAGAAUAUCCAUCACGUGAUGACAUUUUGUUUGUCCCUUUACUGCUAAUGUUCCAGGGACCAACUAUGGAGUUUCAUAGAACAAUACAUGCCAGGUCACUGGCACGUGAUUUAUUCAUAUGCUAUGCAAGGUAUGUGUGUUCAGUGGGUUUAGUUUUGUUUUGUCCUCUUUCUGCUGCUUCAAAUUUAUAGUUGACAUAAUACAUGAAAUUCUUUUCUUUUCUAUGGUGUCAAAGUUGUAGUAAUACUGGCAUCUUUUUGUUCUUCAGGUGCUAUAACCAUGAAUUCCUGAAGAAUUUUUUCAUAUCGACUGGAGAAAUUCAGGUUAGUUUAGAUUAGCUUACUAUCAAGGGUUAGUUUUCAUUCUUUUCGGAAUUAAAAUAAUGUGUUUGGAUAGGAGUGAAUUUGAAGUCUUAUUUGGAAUAAUUACUGUAGCACUUUUUGUGAUGUGAUGCAUAUGAGAUGAAAAGGUGGUUGGGAAGAUAAAAGGGUGUCUUGGAAAACGUGUUUGUGAUGCAGGCAAAUAAUUUUUGUGCAAAUGUUACCUAUAAUGUAAGAAAUAAUUCUAUAGCGUUGUUGUAUGUUAUGUCAACUGGGUUCAGUUGAGAGCUGUCACCAAUCGUGACUCUUCCUGUUUAAUGAUGCUUGAACUCAUGGUUGGAUUAUAAAUAAAAUUUUGUUUGUCAACCACUGGCUGACAUUUCGUUUGUAUCUCCAAUAUUUAGUGAGAGAGAAACUAUUUUAGUAACUUAGCAGCUGCAAUUCCAUGGAGGCUGUUAUGAUGUGUGGGAAAUUUUGUAUCAAAACACGAAUUACAUGAGAUUUUUCAUUGUUGGGGUGCAAUAUAAAUUGAUUUAAAUUGUUGAAGCAUCCAGCUUUUACUGCUUGUUGUCGAUGUAUACAUGAUAGUUUUCUGCGUUUUGUUGCCUCAGUAAUUGAGGUUAUAUUCCUUCCUUCAAAGGUGAUACAACAGUUCAAGGUUAUAUCAUUUUUCUAGGAUGCGGCUUUUCUAAUGUGGAAAGAGUCAUGGGAAUUGGCAAAGAACCCAAUGGCAAGCAGGGGAUCUCCCCUUCAGGGUCCUCGGAUAAAGCUCAUUGAGAAUGUGCAGAAACUUUUCUCUGAAACCAGGGAACAUGUUUUUGAGUCAAAGGCAGCUGAAGAGCAUGCAAAGUUGUUGAGGUGACAUUUCAUCCAGCACAUUAGAAUAUGAUCAUUUUUUGACUUCCUCUGCCAAGCUCUUGUUAAUCGAUAUGAAGCUUCAAGUUUGAGGUUAUUGCCACAUUGUGCUGUUAGUUGCUUUAUUAUGAGAGUGACACCAGAGAUGAUGCUUGCAUUGCAUACGUCAAUUAGCAUAUUAGCUUUAGAUAAAAACUUCUUUUGCUACUGUUAGACACACAUGACAGUUUGUACUAGGAGGCUACCAAACAAAGUCCUCUUGUCCUGUGGACCAUAAAGCUGUAUAUUUUUUCAUUUGAUUUGAAAAAUAUAUUUUGAUUUCUUCUGCUCUUUGGAUGGUAAUGCUCGAUGUGUAUUAACUGCAGGAUGCAACAAGAGUUGGAGGUCACCACAAAGCAGCCUAUUUUUGUGGAUUCAAGCAUCAGUGAUACAAUUCGAACAUGUAUUGUACUGGGAAAUCAUCGGGCUGCUCUGAAAGUUAAAACAGAAUUUAAGGUCUGAAAAUGUUUGUAUUUUCAUUUCCUUCUAUUAAUUGGAUAAGAUUACACGUGAAGGAAGAUGUUGGGAUGAUACAUCUCUUCCUUUCUCAUGGACUGUCAUGUUAGUUAUCAUGCACUUUCUCAAUCUGGACAUUGUGAUUAUGAAACUUGUGUAAAAUGAUUUAGGUUUCGGAGAAGCGUUGGUAUUGGCUUAAAGUAUUUGCUUUGGCAACAAUCAGGGAUUGGGAUGCUCUGGAGAAAUUCUCAAAGGAGAAAAGACCACCCAUUGGUAAGCUGAAAACGUGUGUCCAGAAGCAUUUACAAUACCUUUUUUGACUUUGUUUGUCUUGAAGUAUAUGCGGUGGCAUAUGAUAUUCCUUUAAUUUGAUGAACUCCCUCAUCCCCUCCAUUUCCUUCCAUUUGUAGGCUAUCGACCAUUUGUGGAGGCAUGUAUUGAUGCUGAUGAGAAAGGUGAAGCUCUUAAAUACAUACCAAAGCUGUCUGAUCCUAGGGAGAGAGCUGAGGUAAGCAUGGCUGGGAUUUAUAUUCAGUGUGACUGCAUGAUGUGUCCAUUACAUAUGUUUUUCCUUAUAGUAUACAUUUUAUUUUCUUUUUUAGUUGCCCUAUCAAAUGUGGAAAUGGUAUACCAUUUACUAUAGAGUCAAAUCACCGUUUAAUGUUAGUAGCUGGUUUGAAAAAUGAUUUCAAACAAAGAAGAAAAGACAGAUACUCAUAAGGGGAGGCAUUUGUUUUGUUUUGCCAUUAUGCAUCGUUUUCAACAAUUAAUAAAAAAUUUUGACAUCCAUGAGCAGGCUUAUGCUCGAAUUGGAAUGGCAAAGGAAGCUGCUGAUGCUGCAUCUCAGGCUAAGGAUAAUGAAUUACUAGGUCGAUUGAAAUUGACCUUCUCGCAGAAUGCAGCAGCUUCAUCAAUAUUUGAUACCCUUCGAGAUCGGUUGUCCUUCCAGGGGGUUUCUUAGUUUUGCUCUUUCGGCUCUGGCAUUUCACCUCUUCGUUGAUUUUGGAAGUAUGGAGCUGAGUGAUGGCGUUUGUUAAUAUGUUGAUAUCAUGGUUAAUGUUAUGAAGCUUCCAGAGCGAGCAUGUGACAGGCUGCUUGCUUGUUCUGGUGACCACCCUGUCAAAGAGCCUGAUUACUGCCCUUGUAUCUUCUUCUUUUAAGCUAUUGCAGUCUAUGAAAGAACACGUACAAACCAAUUGGUUUAGCUUCACUGUGGGCAGCGGGCAGCUCGCUUUGAUGCAUAGUUUUUGCCAAUGUAAUGUUAACAUCAGUUUGUAAACAAAACACAACAUGAACGGUAUAAUAUGGCUUGCAACCGCUCAGUGUGGCUUUUAGUUAUUUAUAUACGUGUUAUUGCAAGCCUUCUGUUAUUUUGCAAUUUAUUCAUCCGUUCUGUAAUCUACUCAUUCGUUUACUUCAUCUGCUAAUCAGAAAUGAGCAGCUUAUGAUGCCAACGCUCUCUGUGGUAUAAACUUUCAAAUUGCUACUUCAUCCUCCCCCGUUUUCCCAUAGCAUUUAAUAUGCAAUCGUAAAGAUGCAACGAAGAGCACUUCUCUAUACGAAAUUGUAAAGAUGCGAGUCAUUACGACGUCCCGGGAGGAUCCGUUUCUACUGUCUUGAGACCCGGUUCAAGGCUCAGCUGACCUCACUAGAAAAAGGUUGGAAUAAGCCUUUUCAAUGACUUGAUAUUGUUGCUAAUCAACCCUAUAAACUGAUAAAAUCUGGUGCUCCGUCAUGGAAGAGGAUGAGUUUUGUGUCUGAUACAAUCUGGUGCUCAUUUAUGUAAGAGAAUGCAAUUUUUGUCUCAUGUUAUUGCAGUGGUUUAAACGAAUACAUUUUUUGAGCUAGAAACCCUGGAAGAGCAAGGCAAAAUACCAGCGCUCAUAAAUGUGUGGAAACAGGGAAAAGUAUGUUAUGUGGCUCGGACGGUCGAGAGGCUAUUUCAGAUGGUAGCCAAAAAAACUUUGGUUCAUCGCUCACUUUGGAACUGCAUA
rnacentral:lncRNA from 1 species